rnacentral:lncRNA from 1 species
CACAGGAAAUGGGUAGCUAUCCAGCUAAACAGAUUUCAUGCUUGACUUCAGUGGAAUAGCUCAAAUGAUGAUCUGUUUGGGAGAGUAAAUUAAAGAGUUUCCAUCCAAGGUUGGUUGAAUCCACAGAUGCGGAACCCACAGAUAUAGAGGCCAACCAUACUGAGUCCUGACUUCACCCAUUCCUUCUACCCCCAUCUCUCCUAAUCCUUAAACUUCCUUGCAAUUCCUGGAGCAGAAUACUCAUGAAGGAGUCAGGGGUUGUCUUCCCUUCCUAGAAGCAAUGCUUCUAUGUUCUCAUUUGAUGUUGAAUAAAACAUUAAACAGAAAAGCUUUGAUAACAUCAC